rnacentral:rRNA from 1 species
ACGCUAGCUACAGGCUUAACACAUGCAAGUCGAGGGGAAACGGCAUUAAGUGCUUGCACUUUUUGGACGUCGACCGGCGCACGGGUGAGUAACGCGUAUCCAACCUUCCCAUGACUAAGGGAUAACCUGCCGAAAGGCAGACUAAUACCUUAUGGUCUUCACUGACGGCAUCAGAUGUGAAGUAAAGAUUUAUCGGUUAUGGAUGGGGAUGCGUCUGAAUAGUUAGUUGGCGGGGUAACGGCCCACCAAGGCAACGAUCAGUAGGGGUUCUGAGAGGAAGGUCCCCCACAUUGGAACUGAGACACGGUCCAAACUCCUACGGGAGGCAGCAGUGAGGAAUAUUGGUCAAUGGGCGAGAGCCUGAACCAGCCAAGUAGCGUGCAGGAUGACGGCCCUAUGGGUUGUAAACUGCUUUUGUAUGGGGAUAAAGUCAAUCACGUGUGAUUGUUUGCAGGUACCAUACGAAUAAGGACCGGCUAAUUCCGUGCCAGCAGCCGCGGUGAUACGGAAGGUCCGGGCGUUAUCCGGAUUUAUUGGGUUUAAAGGGAGCGUAGGCUGGAGAUUAAGUGUGUUGUGAAAUGUAGACGCUCAACGUCUGACUUGCAGCGCAUACUGGUUUCCUUGAGUACGCACAACGUUGGCGGAAUUCGUCGUGUAGCGGUGAAAUGCUUAGAUAUGACGAAGAACUCCGAUUGCGAAGGCAGCUGACGGGAGCGCAACUGACGCUGAAGCUCGAAGGUGCGGGUAUCGAACAGGAUUAGAUACCCUGGUAGUCCGCACAGUAAACGAUGGAUGCCCGCUGUUGGUACUUGGUAUCAGCGGCUAAGCGAAAGCAUUAAGCAUCCCACCUGGGGAGUACGCCGGCAACGGUGAAACUCAAAGGAAUUGACGGGGGCCCGCACAAGCGGAGG